rnacentral:rRNA from 1 species
UGGGGAAUUUUGGACAAUGGGCGAAAGCCUGAUCCAGCAAUGCCGCGUGUGUGAAGAAGGCCUUCGGGUUGUAAAGCACUUUUGUCCGGAAAGAAAUCCUUGGCUCUAAUACAGUCGGGGGAUGACGGUACCGGAAGAAUAAGCACCGGCUAACUACGUGCCAGCAGCCGCGGUAAUACGUAGGGUGCAAGCGUUAAUCGGAAUUACUGGGCGUAAAGCGUGCGCAGGCGGUUUGCUAAGACCGAUGUGAAAUCCCCGGGCUCAACCUGGGAACUGCAUUGGUGACUGGCAGGCUAGAGUAUGGCAGAGGGGGGCAGAAUUCCACGUGUAGCAGUGAAAUGCGUAGAGAUGUGGAGGAAUACCGAUGGCGAAGGCAGCCCCCUGGGCCAAUACUGACGCUCAUGCACGAAAGCGUGGGGAGCAAACAGGAUUAGAUACCCUGGUAGUCCACGCCCUAAACGAUGUCAACUAGUUGUUGGGGAUUCAUUUCCUUAGUAACGUAGCUAACGCGUGAAGUUGACCGCCUGGGGAGUACGGUCGCAAGAUUAAAACUCAAAGGAAUUGACGGGGUCAUAGCUGUUUCCU